CAGUAGCCGCGGUAAGACAGAGGAUGCAAGCGUUAUCCGGAAUGAUUGGGCGUAAAGCGUCUGUAGGUGGCUUUUCAAGUCCGCCGCCAAAUCCCAGGGCUCAACCCUGGACAGGCGGUGGAAACUACCAAGCUGGAGUACGGUAGGGGCAGAGGGAAUUUCCGGUGGAGCGGUGAAAUGCGUAGAUAUAUGGAGGAACACCGGUGGCGAAAGCGGCUCUCUGGCUUGUAACUGACGCUGAGGCUCGAAAGCGUGGGGAGCAAACAGGAUUAGAUACCCCCGUAGUCCCUGUCUCUUAUAA
rnacentral:rRNA from 1 species